CCGACCGUUUUCUUGUCUUUUUUCUUCUCGAACCCGUGACGAUCGUCGCGUCAGCCUCGAGAGGCCCGGUCGCCCUCGACUCUCGUCUCUUCUGGUUUCUUAUUCCACCGCGUCCGGUCCCUUCGCGAAUCCCCUUCCCUCCGGUUCCAAAUCGAUCGCCGGCGGUGUGAUGGCGGCGGUGGUGAAAAAUCUCUUGGAUUUCCUUACCCAAUUGCGCAACUUUCUCUUCAUCGGUUGCCUGCUCGAAUCGAUCUAGGGUUUCCUUUCCCUGUCUGCGAUCAUCGGGCUGGAAAGCCUGGAAGCCAGCCAUGCUCAAUCCAAAGGCUUGAAAUUUCAAAAAAAGAAAGAGAAAAAAGAGCGGAGCCCUUGUUUCGUGCGGCUGCAGCUUGCGGAGGAGAUGGGGGCUCGAAAGCCCUCUUUCUCGCUCACCCCUCUCCCUCACUCCCUUCCUCCCUCUCUCUCUCCCUCCCUCCCUCCCUCCCUCCCUCUAUUUCCUUCUCCCUUUCCCCUUCCCUUGCCGGACUUCUCCGAAGAGGGUGUUCGGAACAGUACCGUCUUCAUUGUUUCCAGAGUUUCUAAAGAUUUUAUUGGAAGCGCAUCAGAAUUAUUUCUUAUUUCUUAUUGAAUGUUUGUUUACAGGAGAGUCUUAUUGAUUCAGAUGUUUCUUUAAGCUACUAAUAAUUUACUAACUGGUUUGACAUUCAAAUUAUAGGAUUGCUUUUAUAUACAUGGAUGAUGAAUGUGAUGCAGAGGAUGGAAUUCACGGAUUGGACCAGAUAUGAUUUGAGAGACGCGGAUACUGGCUUCAUGUUGAGUGGACAAAGUUGAUUACUGGCUAGCAUAUCUACUUGCUAACUGCUAUUUCUACAUGCCCUUUGUUAUUCAGGCAUGCGACUAUAUGCAUAUAAUGAUUCAUUUGGAUGGUGUGACGUUGGAUCUGAUAUCUUAAGAACCGAAGUGCUGGUUUUCUUCUUUGUGGAAUGUCUGGGCCAUUUAAUGGGUGAACUGACUAUUUGCCAUCAUUAGUGGGUCGAGCUACCACAUCAGGAGCCAUGGAUCCCUCAGUAGUGGUCAAAACCUAGAAAUAUUUCUUGGAUUUGGUGAUCACCCAAUAUCAAAUGGGAACAACUGUUGGAGUAUGACUUGAUUAGGGUGCACAUUCACGGUAGGUGCAUGCUCAUGGUAGCUUUGUGCAUCGAUGGAUACAUGUUAGUUUUAAUUAAGAGGGCUUGUAUUUUUUAGCUGGCUCAUGUGUCGCCCAUGUCUUUUAAUCUGAUUGGCCUAUGAGCCUGUUGCUACAAUAUAGUUGUCGUGUGUGCCAUUGUACCAUCUCCAACACCUUAUUGUUGCAGUAGGUUAACAAGUGAAUUUGGAAACAUGACUCAUGAAUCAGACCAAGACUGUUUACUUCCCUCCUGCUCCUGCAUGGCAGCAAUCCUGAAAAUUUCAACUAGGAGCUCAUGUUUGGAGGCAUUGAGUAGAAGGGAGCAUGGUGGUAUAGCUCUGUUCAUAGCACAGAUGUGGCAGAAUUUGGUGUUAUUCUUUGAGCCCGUGUUAACAUUUAUCUAAUAUUGUAGUUGACCCUGAUGAAAAGCUUGUUAGGGAUGCAUGGCCUAUAUCUUAAGUAUUUAAGUUCAAAAGUUUCUACUUGCUAUCUUGUAGCUGAUAAAAUCAGAUACUUGGUAAAGGCAGAAGCAAUAUAUUUUUCGACCUAUUUGUGUGAGAGUUGCUGAAAUCAAUGAUAAUUGAAAGAGACUAGGUUGAUGUUAUGAAGAGGUCAGAUGGCAACUGAGCUUGAAUUUCUUUAGAAAUUGUUGUCCAAACUAAAGUGCCAGAGUUGCUAGAGAAUUGUUCACUUUAUAAUAUUUCUAGUUAGAAUUCAAUUGA